rnacentral:rRNA from 1 species
CCUACGGGAGGCAGCAGUAGGGAAUAUUGCUCAAUGGGGGAAAGGCUGAAGCAGCAACGCCGCGUGGAGGAUGAAGGUGUUGGGAUUGUAAACCCCUUUUGGUAGAGAAGAAAAUGACGGUAUCUAACGAAUAAGCACCGGCCAACGCCGUGCCAGCAGCCGCGGUAAUACGGAGGGUGCAAGCGUUAUUCGGAAUCACUGGGCGUAAAGAGCGCGUAGGCGGGAUAGCAAGUCAGAUGUGAAAUCCUAUGGCUUAACCAUAGAACUGCAUUUGAAACUGUUAUUCUAGAGUAUGGGAGAGGCAGGUGGAAUUCUUGGUGUAGUGGUGAAAUCCGUAGAGAUCAAGAGGAAUACUCAUUGCGAAGGCGGCCUGCUGGAACAUAACUGACGCUGAUGCGCGAAAGCGUGGGGAGCAAACAGGAUUAGAUACCCCGGUAGUC